UAAAGGAGACCCACAUUGGCCAUUGUUUCAAGCACCAUUACACUUCUCAGAGGGAACACAGUGUGUGCGAAUGUAGUACUACGCCCAAGCACUGAUGGACCUAAUAGCACACCGCCCUAUAAACAUUGCAAAGAUUGACAGGAAAUGCAAAUAACUUACAAGGAUCUCGGAGAUGACGCGAGGUUGUCGCAAGGGUUUGAGGACGAAAACAAGAAUGCGAGUUGUCACAACAACCAGAGUCAAUUGCAAAAUGAAGAGAGGGAGAGAGUAAUCUAAAGGAUUAUCACCCUGCCAUACUCCAUUUGUUGUUAUCAUGGAACAGUUUUUUUCUUCUGAAACUGAAAUAAAUAUCGAGCAAGACAAGACGGAUCGGAAAAAUAAGACAAUUUUGUGUUUUUGAUUGAUUUUGUUGGAAAUGAAGAGACAAUGGUAGAAGAGGAAAGAUAGGAGAGUUUUGGUGGUUCCCCGUCCAGUUGGGUGCAUUACUCCUUUGUGGUUUAAAGCAAAUUGAUAUGAAUUCUAUUUUAAGAAGUUUUUGCCACGCUGGUAGAACUUUUUUGUAAUGUUGUGUGUAUUUAGUAGAAUGGUUGAUUUUCAACGCUAGUUAUUAUGUUGUGAAAAAAAAAUUGAAUUUAAAGUUG